rnacentral:rRNA from 1 species
AGCCAGUACAGGAUGGACCCGCGUCUGAUUAGCUAGUUGGUAAGGUAACGGCUUACCAAGGAGACGAGCAGUAGCCGACCGGGGAGGGUGAUCGGCCACAUUGGAACGGAGACACGGUCCAAACUCCGACGGGAGGCAGCAGUGGGGAAUAUUGCACAAUGGGCGAAAGCCUGAUGCAGCAACGCCGCGGGAGUGAUGAAGGCCUUCGGGUCGUAAAACUCUGUCCUCAAGGAAGAUAAUGACGGUACUUGAGGA